rnacentral:rRNA from 1 species
UACGGAGGGUCCAAGCGUUAUCCGGAAUCAUUGGGUUUAAAGGGUCCGUAGGCGGUUUUGUAAGUCAGUGGUGAAAGCCCAUCGCUCAACGGUGGAACGGCCAUUGAUACUGCAAGACUUGAAUUAUUAGGAAGUAACUAGAAUAUGUAGUGUAGCGGUGAAAUGCUUAGAGAUUACAUGGAAUACCAAUUGCGAAGGCAGGUUACUACUAAUGGAUUGACGCUGAUGGACGAAAGCGUGGGUAGCAAACAGG